rnacentral:rRNA from 1 species
CAGCCGCCACGGUAAUACAGAGGGUGCGAGCGUUAAUCGGAUUUACUGGGCGUAAAGCGUGCGUAGGCGGCUUCUUAAGUCGGAUGUGAAAUCCCUGAGCUUAACUUAGGAAUUGCAUUCGAUACUGGGAAGCUAGAGUAUGGGAGAGGAUGGUAGAAUUCCAGGUGUAGCGGUGAAAUGCGUAGAGAUCUGGAGGAAUACCGAUGGCGAAGGCAGCCAUCUUGCCUAAUACUGACGCUGAGUUACGAAAGCAUGGGGAGCAAACAGGAUUAGAUACCCCGGUAGUCCCUGUCUCUUAUAC